CAAAUUCAGUGUUUAAAUACAAUUCAAAAUCUAAUUAUUGAAAAUAUAAAUUCUGUAAUUACUGUGAAGUAUUGAAAUAUAGAAGUGAGUAAAUAUGUGUCAAAUAUUUAACAACUUUUUCUUUCAAACUAUUUUUUUUAGAUGAAAUCAAUGGUACCUAUGUGUUGUUCUGAUGGAAAUACAAUACUUCAACAAUUGUCCAUACAUCAAAGUCAAUAUAAUAUAUUUUAGUAUUAUCUAAUAAUUUACAUUUCUAUAGUAGUACAAUUUUUUAAAUUUUUUAUAGUUAUUGUUCAAUUAGAGCAUAUGUUCAGUAAAAACCAAAAAUAAUAACCUAUAAGUGGUUGGGAAACAUUUUCUGUACAUCUAAUUGAUAUGUUCAGCGAAAUCAAAGCCACCACAUUUGGUAAUGAAGUUAGUGGACUGUAUUCAUUACUAGAGGUA